UUCAAGGAUAUUGUCGAUAUCCUUAUUUAAGCCCUCCAAUAAUCGAGCCAUGGUGGCUUCAGAUCGUUCGUGGACUCUGGCCCUAAUCAUGGUUAUCUCCAUUUUCUUAUAGUACUAUUCCACUGACAUAGAACCCUAGGUCAGGCGUUGCAAUUCAGAUUCAUGUUUUCAUCGAAAUGAGUUGGCACAAAUCACUUCUUCAUAAUGGAUCUUAAUUCUCUCUAUGUGGUGAUUGGUAGGUCCCCAUCCUGUUAUUUGAAAAGGGCUAACUCAUCCUACCAUACUGAGGCAUAGUCAAAAAACACAAGGAUGACUAAUUUGAGCUUUUUCUCUUCACUAUAGUUGUGGUAGCUGAAGAUGCAAUCGACCUUCCAUUCCAACUCGAGGUAGGCUUCAGGGUCAUUCUUCCCUUGAAAGGCUGGUAUUUGGAACUUGACGUCAUGGAGGUCACCAUCCACCUCUUUGCGAUAGCUUCCCUAC
rnacentral:lncRNA from 1 species